UGUAUUCAGAUGUCAAUUAAGUUUGUGUGUGUAAGUAAUAUAUUUUUAAUAACUUCUGUUUUUGGAUAUUCAAUAAGGUUCGCUAACUUCUAUAUUAUUUUUUUUCAACUAUAUGAUAAUUUUAAACGUACAUGUAUAAUUUGGAAAUAAUUCGAUUUGCAGAUGUUUGUCAAUUAACAGUCAUCUUGUUUUAUUCAGAAACAAUUUAAUUGUGAAAAGUUAUAAAACUAUAAUUAACUACUUACCUUCAAAUAUAAAAUCUGGUUGACACAUCAUGAGAAUAACUGAUUUUGAAUAUUUUGUAGCAGUGCUUUAAUUACAAAAACGUGAGUAAUGUUGAAAUUUGUGAUGUUCCUGCUUCUUGCUGGUCUACUAAGUGAGUAUUAUACAAAUCAUAUUCAUAACUUAUUUUUAUAAGACUUUGCUGCUAUAAUUUACUAAGAUGCUUAUUUCGAUUUACUUAUAUUGUAGGUCUUUGAUCGUUGACUUUCAACACAUCUCAUUUGCUUGAUUAUUAUAUCAUAUCCUUAUAUUACAUAUUAUAAUCACAUUCUCCGUCGGUUCGACCGAUAUAUAUAUUUGUCACACUUUUAUCGAGUGUACUACUGGACAAAUGAACUAUUUGUGAUAUGCUACUUAAAAGCAAUGAGCGCUUCUCGGAUCUGUCAGACACAUACUUCCGAUACUUUGAAUUUUUCAAUAUGUUAAAAAACAAUAUUUUUGGUACACAUUACGUAUGAGCUUUCUAGCUGAAUUUCAUACUUAGCUAAUAGUUAAUGAGUAAUAAGUUGCCAGAUCUUAAUAAAGUGUUUUUUAGAGUUCUUUAUUUUUUCUUUGAAAUUUUUUAAUCUUUACUGUUUAGUCCUUUUUAUUUUGGGUUAUAUCCUUUUGGCGUGAUUCGGUACUUAUGCAUCCCGCCAAUGUGUUGUUGUGGUGUGCUCAUUAUUUGUUUACUUUAUUUUUGCUUGUGUACUGUGCCUGCAUUUUUAUGCCAUUUAGUUUUUCUUUGGUGACACAUGAGUUGUUUUUUUUUUAUAGUUAGUAAGAUUUUACACAAAAUUCAUUACUGUACCCCUUUAACUAAUAUUUAUCUAGUAUGUUUGUUUUCUUUGUUCACACAAUGUUGUCAAUAUAAUUGUAUUAAAUAUGUGACUCUCAUCAAAAUGAGAGGAUAGCUAUAAAUCUAGAUUUAAUCCACAAUGUUCUCCAUAAGAAAAUGCCGGUACCAAGUUAGGAAAAUGACAGUUGUUUUCCAUUUGUUCAUUAGGAGUGAGCUUUUGAUUCUUCCAUUUGAUGAGAUUUUUUUAUUUGAGUUUCCAUUUUUGUUAUCUUACUUCUUGUAAAGUAUGAGGUUUACUGGAUUUGUAAGACAGAAAUUCCUGUUUGCCGAGGUUUUUAAGUUCCAACUCGUUGAACUUGAAUAUUAUCGACACAUAUUCUCUGAGGAUUGGUUGUAUAGCUGUCUCAAACUGCUGAGUACCAAAAAGAAAAUAUGCUAUUCCAAGUAUAGUUAAGGACGGACAUAUGAUUAUAAAACUUGUACAAUCGAAGUGUUAUAUAUUCUUUCUUCUUCAAAAGAAAUUGAAAAAAAGGUGCAGCUGCUAUUUUACCAGAUUAAAAACAUCAACAAUGAAAGCAAAAACGAAAUUAUAAAAUAAAGACAAAAAUGGAAACUUAAAUAAAACUUUAUAAGGACUUGACCGUUGGUUUUUAAGUUGAUCAAAAUGCCUUGCCCUGACAAUAGUAAGUACUAUUGAAUAAAUUUCAUUUUGUUAAAGUUGUUCCGCACGCCGUGGAAGCAAAAACUUGCCAUAGGAGGAUAUGUUGGUGUAAAGAAUCUGACUGCAAGUGUAAGAGAAUUUCCUACCCGUGUUGGGGGAAACGACGAUCAAUGGAUGAUGAGGUUCGACUUGGUAUGUUACCGUUAAGGUUGCAAUAAUGGUUUUUUUAAGCAUCUACAAAAUAAGUUUAUAACUACAUUUUUUUGUCAUUUAAAUUAGCAAUUCUGCUAAAAUACAAUAUUAGUAUGGCAAUGUUGUUCUCCUACAAAUAGGACAUUUAAUAUUUUUAAAACUUCCAAUCUCAGUAUAAAUUUCUUAUUGGUAUUGCUAUGCUGUGUUGAUUUAAUACUUCAACAAUAUGUUGAUUGUGAAAUUCCAAUUUCCGGGAAUUUCUUACUUUAAAUCGUGUAAAUAGAUGUGUUAUGGAAAAUGAAAACUUUUAGUAUGUGCAUUUUAAAGUGAUAUAUUCUUAAAUGGAUCUCAUCGCCAAUUUUACCCGUGUAAUAUUAGCCCUAUUGAUGAUUAACAAUAUUGUGCCCGUGUAUAUAAGCCAUAAAUUGUUUUAAAUCCUUAUUGGAUGUGCUCCUCAUUAGUAGGAGGAGGUUACAGAAAAGAAGAAGAAGAAGAAUCGGUGCAUGCUUUUUAUAAGCUUUAUCUACUAGUUUACUCAAUUUCAUUACGCAAAAGUUAAAAUGAUAAUGGAUAUGGCGAAAUCAAUGGUAGCUUUAACAAAAGCGAGCAUUGAAAAAAGCAACAAACUUUUGAUCUUUGAGUUAGAACUAUUGAAAUGAACUAGUCCAUAUAAAAAAGAUGGCAUGUUAACACAGAGGUUUUGACUAAUGUUCAGGUGAUGACCUCGGAUAGGAAAGCUCCACCAGAACUUUGUAAGACGAUUCUCUUUUUCUCUGUGAGAAUGUUUCGUUGACAUACGACAUCAAGAGUACAAAACCACUAGUACGGGUGUAUAAUUUGAGUACCAACUGUGGGUUGAAAUUUGAAUCGAAAAUCACAAUAAAUAUAUUUGCGAUGAAAUAGGACUGCAAUGUGAUGGUAUCGAUCCUUCGUUUAUUUGUUUUCGAAGUCAGUGUGGAUAUUUUCAUAACAAAAUUGUAUAUAUAUAAGUCCAUUUUUUGUAAAAAAAAAAUAACCACAAUUGAUCAUGGGCAAUAUAUAUAGUUGUGCAAAGAGUAGUAAAAAUCUAAAGUUUUGAUAUAAAAUUGAAAAUAUUGUUUGUAAAGAUUUUACAGGCAAUCUUUAGAUAUUUGAGAAUCCACAUCUGAUUGACACCACUGGUUGAAUAUACCAUAUCACAGCAUUCUGUAAGCAGUAUUUUUAUUUGAUUUUUAUUUUGUGUUUUAUGUCUUAGAAAGCAUGGUGGUAAGAACUUUGAAAAAAAAAUUUAGUUGAACAUCGACCAUUUUCAAAUAACCGAAUGUGUGGCCCUCAACAACGAAUGAAAUCUUCAUUGUUAAUAAGAUUACUGUCAGUAUCAAUAUAAGCACAUUAAUAGUAAUUUGAGUUAAUAAUUUGAAGCAUGCUUCGAGUCAGGUAUGAAUUAGUUUUUAACAAGUAGUUCUGUGUUGUCAAUAUGUUUGUGUAUGUGUUGUGUUGUUUAUAUGUUAUAUUGUACGUUGUUGUGUGGAGAGUGUUUAUACAGGUUUGGCCUAUUGCCCAGUCAAAUGCGUUUGAAUGAAAUAUUGUUUAAACUAACAUACCAUUUAAAACAAAACCGACGGAAAAGGGAAGAGGGUUAAAGUUACAAUGUGCAUCCUUGGCUUUCUAUCAUAAACAAUAAAGUCAAUGACAAUAAAAAAUAAUCGUAAAUUUAAAAUAACUUCAAACUGAUAUAUUUUCAGCUGACCUAGAAGACAACUAGUUGGUUAAAUCAGCUAAGCAGUCAAAUACCAGUCAUGCAAUGAAAUAAAUAA
rnacentral:lncRNA from 1 species